UACGCAGGGGGCUAGCGUUGUUCGGAAUCACUGGGCGUAAAGCGCGCGUAGGCGGCCAGAUAAGUCCGCUGUGAAAUCUCGAGGCUCAACUUCGAGCUGUCGGUGGAAACUAUCUGGCUAGAGUCCGGAAGAGGAGAAUGGAAUUCCUGGUGUAGCGGUGAAAUGCGCAGAUAUCAGGAAGAACACCCGUGGCGAAGGCGGCUCUCUGGGACGGUACUGACGCUGAGACGCGAAAGCGUGGGGAGCGAACAGG
rnacentral:rRNA from 1 species